CAUACAUGGUUCUCCAUGCCGUAAUGGUCAUCAUGACUCGUCAUCGUAACAGUGCAGUGUAGUUGAGUCAGUUGAGUGUAGUGGUCAUGGUCAGUGGUAAUGGUGUAAUACUUUGCAAGUGCCGUGUUCUUAUAUGUAAUAUUUUUACAUUGAAUUGGACUAUUUUGCAUAAUAUCGGAUCUCCGUGGAUAAAAAAAACCUCAGGAAUUUGUGGAAUAAUAUUGCCAAACAUUGGUAAAUUAGAACUUCUGGUUCAAAGGCUAUUACCAAGGUCGUAAAGUAUAAAGGAAAUUGUGGAAUAAUAUUGCCAAACAUUGGAAAAAUUAGAAUUUCUGGUUCAACGGCUACUACCAAAGUCGUAGAGUAUAAAGGUAAAUAAUUAAAAGUAUUUAUA
rnacentral:lncRNA from 13 species